rnacentral:rRNA from 1 species
UACGUAGGGUGCAAGCGUUAAUCGGAAUUACUGGGCGUAAAGCGUGCGCAGGCGGUUAUGUAAGACAGAUGUGAAAUCCCCGGGCUCAACCUGGGAACUGCAUUUGUGACUGCAUAGCUAGAGUACGGUAGAGGGGGAUGGAAUUCCGCGUGUAGCAGUGAAAUGCGUAGAUAUGCGGAGGAACACCGAUGGCGAAGGCAAUCCCCUGGACCUGUACUGACGCUCAUGGCACGAAAGCGUGGGGAGCAAACAGG